GACGAAGGUGGCGAGCGUUGUUCGGAAUCACUGGGCAUAAAGCGCACGUAGGCGGCUCCGCAAGUCGGUUGUGAAAUCCCUCGGCCUAACCGAGGAAUGGCGACCGAUACUGCGGGGCUUGAGACCGGGAGGGGUGUGUAGAAUUCCGGGUGGAGCGGUGAAAUGCGUUGAUAUCCGGAGGAACACCGGCGGCGAAAGCGACACACUGGUCCGGUUCUGACGCUAAGGUGCGAAAGCCAGGGGAGCAAACGGG
rnacentral:misc_RNA from 1 species